GGGUAGGGGGCAACAUACCAUGCUAGUCGAACGGUGCGGGCCUUCCGGCGCCGACGAGUGGCGAACGGCGGAGUAAUGCAUCGGAACGUGCCCAAUAGUGGGGGAUAGCCCGGCGAAAGCCGGAUUAAUACCGCAUGAACCCUGAGGGUGAAAGCGGGGGAUCCCCGACCUCGCGCUACUGGAGCGGGCGAUGUCAGAUUACCUAGGUGGUGGGGUAAAGGCCUACCGAGGCAACGAUCUGUCACUGGGCUGAAAAGACGACCCCCCCCCCUGGGACUGAGACACGGGCGGGACUCCUACGGGAGGGAGCAAUGGGGAAUUUUGGACAAUGCGCGCGAGCCUGAUCCGCCAAUGCCGUGUGCAGCUUUAAUGCCUUCGGGUUGUAAACUGCUUUUGUCAGGAAACACAUCCUCUGGGUUAGUACCUCGGGGCGAUGACAGUACCUGGGAAAUAGCCACCGGCUAACUACGUGCCUGCAGCCCCGGUAAUACGUAUGGUGCGAGCGUUAAUCGAAAUUACGGGGCUUAACGCGAGCUCUGGCUGCUUUGCUGGAUCGAUGGGAAAUCCCAGGGGUCAGCCUGUCAACUGGUUUAGUGACUGCAAGGCUAGAUUACGGCAAACGCGGAUGGAAUUCCGCGUGCACCAGUGAAAUGCUUAGAUAUGCAGACGAACACCGAUGGCGAACGCAAUCCCCUGGACCUGUACUGACGCUCAUGCACAAAAGCGUGGGGAGCAAACAGGAUUAGAUACCCUGGUAGUCCACGCCCUAAACGAUGUCAACUGGCCGUUGGACGGCUUGCUGUUCAGUAACGAAGCUAACGCGUGAAGUUGACCGCCUGGAGAGUACGGGCGCGAGGGUGAAUCUCUAGGACUUGACGGAGACUCGCACAAGCGGUGGACGAUGUGGUUAAAUCCAUGCAGCGCGAACUACCCUAUCCACGCAUUGACAUGACAAGAUCUUGCAGAUAUGUGAAACUGCUCUAAGAGAUCUUGAUCAAUGUGCUGCAUGACCGACGUCAUCUUCUUAUCGUGCGAUGUUUGAGUUUAGGUCCUCCAACGAGGCAACACCCGUGGUCAUUACCUCGCUGCAAAAGGGCGCUCACAAUCGAGACCUUCCAUG
rnacentral:rRNA from 1 species